rnacentral:rRNA from 1 species
UGCGUAGGCGGCGCGGUAAGUCGGGUGUGAAAUCUCGGAGCUUAACUCCGAAACUGCAUUCGAUACUGCCGUGCUCGAGGACUGGAGAGGAGACUGGAAUUUACGGUGUAGCGGUGAAAUGCGUAGAUAUCGUAAGGAAGACCAGUGGCGAAGGCGGGUCUCUGGACAGUUCCUGACGCUGAGGCACGAAGGUCAGGGAGGCAAACG